CAUUUGAAGCUUUGAGCACUCACAAAAUCCAUUGGUUACCUUGAUCUAACAUGCCAGAGGCUGUUCACCUUGGAGACCUGCUGCGGAUAUGGGUACUGAAUGGGGAGGGCUUUUAAACUUU